GAGGGUAUAGCUUAAGUGGUAGAGCGCAUGCUUAGCAUGCACAAGGUCCUGGGUUCAAUCCCCAAUAACUUCU
rnacentral:tRNA from 1 species